UGUAACUGAGACUUUUUCAAUGGUAUAUAUUGUAACUGAGAUUUUUUCAAUGGCAUAUAUUGUAACUGAGACUUUUCAAUGGCAUAUAUUUUAACUGAGACUUUUUUAAUGGCAUAUAUUGAUUUAAAAUGUUUGAAGUUUACUUUUUGUUACAUUAAAAACAUUUUUAAAUCUUAAGGAACAUUAACAACCAUCUAUCUAAUCCUACUAUCAAAGACUGUUUACCGUUUGACUCCUGUCCCAAUCUAACCUAGUGGGUUCAAAAAGAAAGACCGCGCUAGAAACAUGAUGGGGUUAAAAGGAUCAGCCCUUUUUGAAUUAAUAUUCGAAGUCGUAACCUGUUCGUAUGAAAGGAUUUCUCGACCUGAAAUAGUUAAUUUUAUUCAACAACGCCAAGAAACAGAGCUCGCACAAGAAACAGAGGAGAAAGAGAAAGAUGAAGAAAUAUUCUGUUGAACAAUACUGUUGUUUUUAUUUAUAAAUUAUUCUCCUAUGUUUAAACAUAUAAAAGAUGUAGAAAAUGAU